rnacentral:lncRNA from 1 species
CAGCAGCUGCCUGUUCCAGGUCUUCAGUGCAAACCUGCCCACAAGACACUGUUGGAGGAACAUCCCAGGACAGUGCCAGGGAAGGUGGGACAACAGUACAGAGUCACACGCUGUCUGCAAGGAGAGAUGGCUCUAGGACUGCUCUCAUAGCUGUUCUUCCUCUGAAUUCACCUCUUUUUCUUGCUCUCCCUACCCCCAUGGAAAGCAGAAAGGGAUCAGGACAAACGAAAGGGAGUUUUCCUGGUGCUGCCUGCUCUCCCAAGGGUGGUAGGGGAGAGUAGCGUGUAUAUAUCACCACUGUGUUUGAGUUCACAAGCCAGGAGAGCUGGAAGAAGUGUAAAAUAUUUUGCCAAGAUCAGGUUCCUUCUGAGGAGACCUGGAGGAGUGAAGCAGGGUGAGUGGUCAGGCACAGAGCAGGAGUGCUCCAGCAGCAAUAUGCAGAGCAAGAGCAACCACCCUGUGCCCUGUGGCACCUGAGCUGCUCCAUCAUUUCAGAGAGGAGGCAGGCAGCCAGGCUCAGUCCCUUCAGAAGGAAAGUACCUUGAGGGGGUCCUGUGGACUUUUGUUCAGAUUCAUGAAUAAUGCAAACACUCCUGAAGGUCAUAUUAAUGGAACAUACCAAUUUUCCUAUUAGCCCAUGUUUCAAAUCAUGUAAAGAUCAGAUGUUCAGAAAUAACACAGAAAAGUAUAUGACCAUCUUAUUUAUGUGGUGCCAAGUUUUACCACCUUUUUAUUGAGUGAGCCAUUUUCCUGGCUGAAUAUGGUACCAUUGACUGCAAGUAUGGCAGAGAGCCUGGCUGAUGGAGAAGGAAGGUACGCAGCAACUAUUGCUCAUCUGUCUCUAGCAACUGUGCUGUUAUGAUUUGUGUCUGUCAUUCACAAAUUCUUUACUUUCUUUUCCAAAUGUACCUUGAUAAUCUUAAAGCAGCACAGAUGCAACUGAAAUUCUAGGUGAAAUUGCACUAUACGUAUUACCCCCUUUGUUCUUUUAUACUACUGCCAUGUGAUUUAUCCUUUGCUUCUCAUUUCAGGUCUGCUGUUUUGUCAUUGGAGUAUAUUUUCUAGUGUGCGUUAUAAGAAAACCCAUACAUGAAGAAAAGAAAAAAGAAGUAAAUAGAAAACAAACCACAGGCAUGGCCAUUGAUUUUUCUGGAGAAUGGAUGACCUGCCUUCUUCAAGUGUCCAGACCUGCUGCAGAGAAUAUGCAAGGUACAAGAUAAAUGCAGUUGGAGUGCAUCUUGACUUGCAUCAAGAAAUCAAAACAGGCAUGAAGGAGAAUACGGUAUGUCAAGCAGCAGUUUUUUAACCUUUUUAACCAUGCAGAAAGCACUGAUUUAAAAGGUGGAGUGUUUGCACUUCAGUACAGAAAACUCUGGAUGUGUGCAUGUGAUGGACAGUUAUAAUACUAGAAAUAAUUUGAAUUAACACACUUUUUCUUGUUUCUUAAAGAACAUGUAUUUCUGUGGAAUGGUACGAGUGUAGGGUAAUGCUGUGAGUGACACUGAGCAGUGUGCAGUGCACGCCUGGGUGGUUUCUUCCCACAGCUUGUAGCCAUACCCAUCAGGGCACUACUUACAGUUGGCAAGUGCACUGCACUGUGUGUUACUGUCACUUGGGGGACACUCCAUCUCACACAAACCUAGCUCAGCCAGGGUUCUUCCAUCCCACCCACCACAGGAGAGGGCUGGUGAUUCUUCCUGCAACUGCAAAAGGUGCUGUGCAGCCUGCAAAUGCCAUUUUGCCUGUGCUCCCUGCCAGAGCCCAUCAGCAAAAGCAAGGAGAGAAGCUGGCUGCAGCACUGUGUGGCAAGCCCAAUGUCAAUGACAAAAGAGGAGGAUCAGGUUUUGUGAGCAUUCCUUGAGCUGCCCUCCUAAUAACAAUAGCCAAGUAUCUUCAGCACUCCCUCAACCCGGGAGCACCAGGUCCCUUUCCUUGGAACAUGCCUGUUGACAAAAGCAGCCUGAAAAUGUCUCCUUCUGCUUCAGGCUCUCUCACUUGCAGCCCCUUUAUGGAGCCAAGCAGUUCUAGCUCAUCUGCCAUCUAUUUUGGCGCCCAAGGAUCUUCCCAGCCAUGCAAAGUGCACAGCUUUGUAGCUGGUAGGUUUUGUGGAGCAGCAGCAUGUCUUACUGUGACUGUUGCGUGGGUCAAGAUGGGUCAACCAUGUGUUGGUAUCUGUAGCGUUACGCAAAUUUUUGUGUCUAUGAAAGCUACCUAAUUAAGUCAUAUUCCUUAAAUGCCUAAGAUGGGGCUUCUCAGAAAUUGUCUUUGAGCUGAUGCUGACUGCUGCAACCAGCACAUGUUCAGGGAGCAGCUUAGCUGUGUGCACCACUGAGCAGCCCAGAUGAUGGCUGCGGUGCAGAAGGAGUGCUAGGGGAGGCACAGCUCUGAAAUGCCAUGAAUCUCAGUGGAUGUGCCUGCUAUGGAGACAUGCAAGGAGGACCUUCUCUCAGGAGGACCACACUUCACCAGGUGAGCAGGAGGAUCCAUCUCCACUUCAGCUGUCAGCCAAGGAGCAGCAAACCAGUAAGCUGAAUAACAAACCUCCAAAACCUAAGGGUUUUCUGCUCAAGAGUUCUAGAAGAAUGUGAAGCCUGCACCACUCAGCUAACUGCAGUGUGGAUCUUGCUUUGUAAGUCAGCACUGAUGCUGAGAAAUGGAAGUCAGCAGGUGUAGGUAAGCCUUGUAAAAGGCUUCAGAGGUAAUCCAUUGAUCUACUGAUUAAUGUCAAGCUUUUUUACCAAUCUAUUGGAGAACUGCAUUUGUGUAAUUAUUGUUUCUGUUCCUUUAUGGUCUGCAAAAUGGUUGGAAUAGCAAAUACUUUCCAGAAGGUUGGAAAUGGUUUUGAGGUCCGAUGCCUCUACUGGCAAUCUUUGAAAUAGACUGCAAGAAUGUGUUUCAAAUGAUACAGUCAGCCCCAAGUAAUUGUGUCCCUGUGUCUUCAACAGCAUCUGAAGUCUGAGGCUGUCUGUGUUCUCCAGAAGAGCUCCAUACAGAGGAGUCACUUUCACCAUCUUGAUUUGUGCAGCAUUUUCCCAGUAAAGGUGCAGGUCCUUGUGCAAUAACAACAGCUUGCAAAAGUUACUUUUUGUGGAAGCUCUAGAAAUAAUCAACAGCUCUCCGUAGUCCGAGGCCAUAGGCAGGAGGAGGAAGGAGCAGUGCACUGCUACACUUUAUCUUGAUUUGCUUUUAUUUUGUACAUGGCUCCGAAGGAUAUCCUUGAGUUUUUCCAGUCAUUUUGUCUCUGACAGCUACUCCAAAAGCAACAAAUACGCCUAGCAAGCAUCAAAUGCCCUGAAAAACAAUGAGUUUUAUCUUCAACCCAAAUCUGGAGCAACUAUAGUGAAUAAAUGCUGUUUUCCUAGAUUCGAUCAGGUGUGUGGCAGAUGACUAACUUUGCCCAAUAUGGCUGAUAAGAAACCUUGGUGACUCCAUGCCCAGGAAGAACAGCAACAACGGGUUUGGAUGACACCCAGUAACUUUUGCUUAGCACUCAGCUGCGUAGAUACCAGCCAGCAUGAGUCAUCUGUAGUAUGCAGAAAGCAUCAUGGAGCUUCAGAGGAGAGGUGUCGAUGCUCCUUAUUCUUCAGAGGUCCCUCAGCAGCAUCCCCAAAGAAAACACGGUGAAAUGAGUAGUUUAAUUCUUGGUCAAUCGCAUGUUGCCACUGAAGAGGAGAUUUCUUCUAGCCUUGAAUCUGCUCUUUUAAUUUUCUCUCUCUCAGCCAACAGUAUCUAUCACCUUGCUGGGCUCUGCCCUUGCUGUACUGGUGAGGGACUUUUUCCCGGCGUUCAGUUAAAGCCCAUUGUUCCCUGGGAGCACAAGCCUGCGGGUCUUCACCACUCCGAUCGCUAUCAGUCCUUGCUGGACGCUGCGUUCCUUUAGGGUAAAGCUUUAGAAGAGCUUUUGUGCGAGCCAUCAGUGAGGCAAACAGCUCUGACAGCCCCUAGAGCCAGGCUUCACUUGGCCUCAUCCAGAGCUUGGCGUCACUCAGCCUAAUCCAGACGCUCUGUAGUGAGGCGGUGACUGCUUUCCUUUUCUUUACUAGUUUGUGAGGACAUUUUGUAGCUUCUUUUCUUUUGUUAAUUCUUGCAAAAGCUCUCCUGGGCAGAAUCAAGCACAGGAGCUUGAGCUAAAUCUUUAAAUGGGGUACGGAGUUUUUCUGGUAUUUAUGUAUUUUAAACGCAGUUUUAACUCUCUGGCAGGAGUGGACCGCCACACAGUGUGCAGCUCUUCUCAGUUGACCUGCAGCAGCCAAAGUUCUCCCCAACGCAGCUGUACUGAGGGUUAGUAGUAAAUGUACUUGCAUUGCAUUAAAAUUACUUUG